rnacentral:rRNA from 2 species
GUCGAGCGGACUUUAAAAGCUUGCUUUUAAAGUUAGCGGCGGACGGGUGAGUAACACGUGGGCAACCUGCCUGUAAGACUGGGAUAACUUCGGGAAACCGGAGCUAAUACCGGAUAAUCCUUUUCCUCUCAUGAGGAAAAGCUGAAAGACGGCAUCUCGCUGUCACUUACAGAUGGGCCCGCGGCGCAUUAGCUAGUUGGUGAGGUAACGGCUCACCAAGGCAACGAUGCGUAGCCGACCUGAGAGGGUGAUCGGCCACACUGGGACUGAGACACGGCCCAGACUCCUACGGGAGGCAGCAGUAGGGAAUCUUCCGCAAUGGACGAAAGUCUGACGGAGCAACGCCGCGUGAGUGAUGAAGGUUUUCGGAUCGUAAAGCUCUGUUGUUAGGGAAGAACAAGUACAAGAGUAACUGCUUGUACCUUGACGGUACCUAACCAGAAAGCCACGGCUAACUACGUGCCAGCAGCCGCGGUAAUACGUAGGUGGCAAGCGUUGUCCGGAAUUAUUGGGCGUAAAGCGCGCGCAGGCGGUCCUUUAAGUCUGAUGUGAAAGCCCACGGCUCAACCGUGGAGGGUCAUUGGAAACUGGGGGACUUGAGUGCAGAAGAGAAGAGUGGAAUUCCACGUGUAGCGGUGAAAUGCGUAGAGAUGUGGAGGAACACCAGUGGCGAAGGCGACUCUUUGGUCUGUAACUGACGCUGAGGCGCGAAAGCGUGGGGAGCAAACAGGAUUAGAUACCCUGGUAGUCCACGCCGUAAACGAUGAGUGCUAAGUGUUAGAGGGUUUCCGCCCUUUAGUGCUGCAGCAAACGCAUUAAGCACUCCGCCUGGGGAGUACGGCCGCAAGGCUGAAACUCAAAGGAAUUGACGGGGGCCCGCACAAGCGGUGGAGCAUGUGGUUUAUUUCGAAGCAACGCGAAGAACCUUACCAGGUCUUGACAUCCUCUGACACUCCUAGAGAUAGGACGUUCCCCUUCGGGGGACAGAGUGACAGGUGGUGCAUGGUUGUCGUCAGCUCGUGUCGUGAGAUGUUGGGUUAAGUCCCGCAACGAGCGC